rnacentral:lncRNA from 1 species
GGGAAUGCCAGCCUGAAACUCUUCCAUUUGACCCGCUUCUAAUUACAUUAGCCGAGGGUCUGAGGGAGACCAAGCAUCCUUAUACCUUUGUGUCAAAGGAAGGCUUUAGGGAGUUACUUCUGGUCAAGGAUGCUCCUGAAAAAGCUAUCCCUUUGCUACCUCGACUGAUCCCUGUGUUGAAGGCAGCUCUAGUUCACUCUGCUGAUGAAGUGUUUGAAAGAGGACUGAGCGCUCUCGUGCAACUGAGUGCGGUUGUUGGCCCGUCUCUGAAUGGCCAUCUGAAACUACUGCUUACAAGUCUUUCGAAGAGGCUAAUGGACAAAAAAUUCAAAGAGCCCAUCACCAGUGCUUUACAAAAGCUGGAGCAGCACGGCGGAAGUGCAAGUCUUAUCAUCAUCAAAUCCAAAAUCCCAACAUACUGCUCUAUCUGCUCUUGAGCAAGGGAGGCAACAAAAGCCAUGCUGCUUCCUUAGGCGCUGCCUGUGGUCACCUGGGCUGUCUGUCAGUCCAGUUCAUUCUGACUCACAGCACCAUUCAUUCAUGAACUCUGCUGCAAGAACCAAUGUCAAAUUCAGAAGAAUCAUCAUACAAGAAGUUGUCAACAGAAAACUAAUUAAAGUAAUGUGCAUAAAAGUUGAGUGCUGUGGGGGUUUCUCGUCCUUGUCAUCUGUGCGAGUUUAUGGAUCAUAUCUGUGUGUGUAUUUUCCAGUACAUUUUUACUUACAGCCCAUCUGAAGAUCACUUUGUGACUGUACUUUACUUUAUAGGUUGGUUUUGGCCAUUUCUUGGUUUUUAUAUUUAUCAAGACUGAAAAAGUUUUAAGAAAGCAAGUAAACAUUUGUGACUUCAUUAUUAGCCGGAGUGUGUAAAUGUGUAUUUUAUAUUGCGGGAAUGCUUGGUAAUAUCAUUUUUGUUCUGAAUAUUCUAGCUUUACAAAUUUCUUUUAAAUGUGUUGUUCAUUACAACUUUUUAAAGUACCUAAACUUUAGGUGUUAAUUGGAAUUAAGUAAAUGCUAUUUUUGUAUUUUGUAGCCCCAAAAUACUGAUGAUGUAUAUAUACAGGUAUUCAGAGAUUAAAAUCUUAAAUCUUACAUGUACUGAG